rfam:Pseudomonas fluorescens SBW25 complete genome
AAAACUGUUACCGCGGAUAUUUCGCGUAACAAAAGCCGGGGCUUACGGUAACGAAGCCCCG